CAGAGGGGGCAAGCGUUAUUCGGAAUUAUUGGGCGUAAAGGGCGCGUAGGCGGCCUUUCAAGUGACGGGUGAAAUCCCUCGGCUUAACCGAGGAACUGCCUGUCAGACUGGGAGGCUUGAGACCGGGAGAGGUGAGUGGAAUUCCCAGUGUAGCGGUGAAAUGCGUAGAUAUUGGGAGGAACACCAGUGGCGAAGGCGGCUCACUGGACCGGAACUGACGCUGAUGCGCGAAAGCGUGGGGAGCAAACAGGAUUAGAUACCCUGGUAGUCCACGCCGUAAACGAUGAGUGCUUGGUGUAGCGGGUAUCGACCCCUGCUGUGCCGAAGUCAACACAUUAAGCACUCCGCCUGGGGAGUACGGUCGCAAGACUG
rnacentral:rRNA from 1 species